CCUACGGGUGACAGCAGUGAGGAAUAUUGGUCAAUGGGCGCGAGCCUGAACCAGCCAAGUAGCGUGCAGGAUGACUGCCCUACGGGUUGUAAACUUCUUUUAUAAGGGAAUAAAGUGAGGCACGUGUGCCUUUUUGUAUGUACUUUAUGAAUAAGGAUCGGCUAACUCCGUGCCAGCAGCCGCGGUAAUACGGAGGGUCCGAGCGUUAUCCGGAUUUAUUGGGUUUAAAGGGAGCGUAGGUGGGUUGUUAAGUCAGUUGUGAAAGGUUGCGGCUCAACCGUGGAAUUGCAAUUGAUACUGGCAGCCUUGAGUGCAGUGGAGGUAGGCGGAAUUCGUGGUGUAGCGGUGAAAUGCUUAGAUAUCACGAAGAACUCCGAUUGCGAAGGCAGCUUACUGAACCGCCACUGACGCUGAUGCUCGAAGGUGUGGGUAUCAAACAGGAUUAGAUACCCUUGUAGUC
rnacentral:rRNA from 1 species